rnacentral:rRNA from 1 species
CAGCAGCCGCGGGAAUACGGAGGGGGCUAGCGUUGUUCGGAAUCACUGGGCUUAAAGCGAGUGUAGGCGGGCCGGCACGUCGACUGCUGAAAUGCCCCGGCUUAACCGGGGCACUGGCAUCGAUACGACCGGCCUGGAGGGGAGUAGGGGGGUCGGGAACUUCCGGUGGAGCGGUGAAAUGCGUUGAGAUCGGAAGGAACGCCCGUGGCGAAAGCGCGGCCCUGGACUCUUUCUGACGCUGAGACUCGAAAGCUAGGGGAGCGAACAGGAUUAGAUACCCCGGUAGUCCCUGUCUCUUAUA